rnacentral:misc_RNA from 1 species
GUCCGUUCCCUCUGAGGAUAGUAUGGGCGUUGAAAUUGAAAGGAUUAGAAUACGAUACCGUUUACGAAGAUCUGGCCAACAAGAGCCCCUUGCUUUUGGAGUACAAUCCGAUUCAUAAGAAAGUUCCGGUGCUCGUCCAUGGCGGAAAGCCGAUCGCCGAAUCGCUCGUUAUUCUUGAAUACAUCGACGAAACAUGGAAGCAAAAUCCAUUGCUG